GUAGGUGGCAAGCGUUGUCCGGAAUUAUUGGGCGUAAAGCGCGCGCAGGUGGUUCUUUAAGUCUGAUGUGAAAGCCCCCGGGCUCAACCGGGGAGGGUCAUUGGAAACUGGGGAACUUGAGUGCAGGAGAGGAAAGUGAAAUUCCACGUGUAGCGGUGAAAUGCGUAGAUAUGUGGAGGAACACCAGUGGCGAAGGCGACUUUCUGGCCUGUAACUGACACUGAGGCGCGAAAGCGUGGGGAGCAAACAGGAUUAGAUACCCUGGUAGUCCACGCCGUAAACGAUGAGUGCUAAGUGUUGGGGGGUUUCCGCCCCUCAGUGCUGCAGCUAACGCAUUAAGCACUCCGCCUGGGGAGUACGGUCGCAAAGACUG
rnacentral:rRNA from 1 species